UUCAUACUCCCUCCGUCCGAAAAUACUUAUCAUCAAAAUGAAUAAAAGAGGAUGUAUCUAGAUGUAUUUUAGUUUUAGAUACAUCCCUUUUUGUCCAUUUUGAUGACAAAUAUUUUCGGACGGAGGGAGUAUUAU
rnacentral:pre_miRNA from 1 species